GACGAACGCUGGCGGCGUGCUUAACACAUGCAAGUCGAACGGAAAGGCCCUGCUUUUGUGGGGUGCUCGAGUGGCGAACGGGUGAGUAACACGUGAGUAACCUGCCCUUGACUUUGGGAUAACUUCAGGAAACUGGGGCUAAUACCGGAUAGGAGCUCCUGCUGCAUGGUGGGGGUUGGAAAGUUUCGGCGGUUGGGGAUGGACUCGCGGCUUAUCAGCUUGUUGGUGGGGUAGUGGCUUACCAAGGCUUUGACGGGUAGCCGGCCUGAGAGGGUGACCGGCCACAUUGGGACUGAGAUACGGCCCAGACUCCUACGGGAGGCAGCAGUGGGGAAUAUUGCACAAUGGGGGGAAGCCUGAUGCAGAAACGCCGCGUGCGGGAUGACGGCCUUCGGGUUGUAAACCGCUUUCGCCUGUGACGAAGCGUGAGUGACGGUAAUGGGUAAAGAAGCACCGGCUAACUACGUG
rnacentral:rRNA from 1 species